CAUAUCCAGAUCAUUAUUGAUUCUUUUCUGAAUUUUUCUAAAAUUUCACCCUUUAAGUAACUGUAAAAGCAUCGUCUAGCUUUGAACGCCAUGUGCCGAUACAUCCAUGAAUCAUCUAAUUACCUGUAACCCAGCGUUAGCGUGCCUACGUGCGCUUUUGCAUCAAUCUUGCUGCUUGCAGCAACGAAAGAAGAAGUUAAAACCUCAUUGAACAAUAUCAAUAACAAUUUCCCGAUAGCAAUAUCGGAAAAAAUGUAGAACAAAUUCGGCAACUGAAGCGUUCGGAGUGUUUCAGAGCUGCACCGAGGCGCAACAUGCUGACCCUUUCAGGUGCUCCAGUGUUCAACAUAUCAGGCCGCACCUUAUCAAAUGUAUCGUUCGUUCGGGGUGAUAGUAACCAGAAUUGGUGUGGUGCAGUUCAAUUUGAUUAACCAAUUUCAUCUUUACGGGUGAUAAGCAAACGCCGAAUGCUUGCGAGCGUGCUCCUCUCAGAGUUAUUACAAGUCAAUUAGAAAAUAUUUUUCUUUUCAAAAAU